GCUGGGCAUGGUGGCGUGUGCCUGUAAUCCCAGUUACUUAGGAGGCUGAGGCAGGAGAAUUGCCUGAACCCAGGAGGCGGAGGUUGUGGUGAGCUGAGAUCGCGCCAUUGUACUCCAGCCUGGGUAAAAAGAGCGAAACUCUGUCUCAAAAAAAAAAAAAGAAGUGCGGAGAUUUUUUUUUUUUUAAUUUUUAAAUUUUUUUAGAUGGAGUCUCACUCUGUCGCCCAGACUGGAGUGCAGAAGCGUGAUCUUGGCUCACUGCAAACUCAGCCUCCUGGGUUCAAGUGAUUCUCCUGCCUCAG
rnacentral:SRP_RNA from 1 species